CUGCAAGUUUUGAAGCAGCAUCUCAGACAUGUUGAAAAAGAUGUUUGGAUCCCUAAAAUAAUGAGAGAAAAGGCCAGAGAGAGGUGUUCUGAACAACUUCAAGAUUUUACCAAAUGUUGCAAGAACUCUGGAACCCUUACGGUAGGAAAAUGCUGGAAAGAAAAUUCUCUAUUGAAAGGACGUCUAACUGCUCACUAUAAUGAUCCAGCCUUUUAUGAAGAAUGCAAAAUGGAAUACCUGAAGGAAGGAAGAAUUCAGAAAAACUGGAAUUUCUACAAAGAGAAGGCUACAGAAACUUCCCAUAAGCC
rnacentral:lncRNA from 1 species